CAGUGAGGCAAUCUAGGCAAGCUGCUGUCAGGAGCCUGACAUCACAACAAUGCAUCCUAAUUUGCAUAACAUUUCUAUAAUUUUUCCUGAAUUUCUGUUAGCAAUGUGUGCACUUCUUUGAUAGACUUCUUCUAGAUACCAUGUACUUUUAGCAGUAGGAAUUUACAACCUAGAUGGCAUGCAAAUGCAUAAAUAUCAAAGUUAAAUGGACGCCAAGACGAGAUGGAGGACUAAAGCAGUACUUUCAUCAAUGUUCAGAUAAACGAGGAAUUUGCAACAGUAAUGCUGACAUGAAUGAAAAUAACUGAAAAUAGGAUAAAAAAGUGUUACAAGAACAAACUACGCAAUAUAAAAUCAGCACACAGUGGACAGAAUGAAACCAGCAAGAAUAAACAGUGAAAAACAAGAUUCUUCGUCUCUAGGACGGCUGCUUGGUCUGCUCUUUGGUCUAGGAGAGGAACGCCCAUCUGAGCCACCUCCAGGAGUUCCCCGCCCCUUUCCAGCUAUUUCAAUCAGUGGCUCAUCAUCUGAAGAAUCUACGUCUACUAAUGUACUGGCUGUUGCUAUACCUGCAAAGAAAUGGAACCAGUCAGAUGAGAAAUAGAUGAAGAACUAUGCUGCUUUCCAGUAGCAACCCAUGAGGAAGAUGAAAUGCUUGGGAUAGAUGCAACAGUGGAUGAUGGCACUGAAUGAGAAACUGACUGCUGUUUUAGUGCACUAGCUGUCAGUCCACCAUGGA